rnacentral:rRNA from 1 species
GUACACUCCUGCGGGAGGCAGCAGUGGGGAAUAUUGGACAAUGGGCGAAAGCCUGAUCCAGCAAUGCCGCGUGAGUGAUGAAGGCCUUAGGGUUGUAAAGCUCUUUUACCCGGGAUGAUAAUGACAGUACCGGGAGAAUAAGCCUCGGCUAACUCCGUGCCAGCAGCCGCGGUAAUACGGAGGGGGCUAGCGUUGUUCGGAAUUACUGGGCGUAAAGCGCGCGUAGGCGGCUUUGUAAGUUAGAGGUGAAAGCCCGGAGCUCAACUUCGGAAUUGCCUUUAAGACUGCAUCGCUAGAAUCGUGGAGAGGUGAGUGGAAUUCCGAGUGUAGAGGUGAAAUUCGUAGAUAUUCGGAAGAACACCAGUGGCGAAGGCGACUCACUGGACACGUAUUGACGCUGAGGUGCGAAAGCGUGGGGAGCAAACAGGAUUAGAUACCCCGGUAGUCCCAUGAU